UCUAGUAGCUGGUUCCCUCCGAAGUUUCUCACAGGAUAGCUGGUGCAUUUAAAAUUUAUAUAAAAUAAUCUUAUCUGGUAAAGCGAAUGAUUAGAGGCCUUAGGGUCGAAACGAUCUUAACCUAUUCUCAAACUUUAAAUGGGUAAGAACCUCACCUUUCUUGAUAUGAAGGUUGAGGUUAUGAUAUAAUGUGCCCAGCGGGCCACUUUUGGUAAGCAGAACUGGCGCUGUGGGAUGAACCAAACGUAAUGUUACGGUGCCAAAAUUAACAACUCAUACAGAUACCAUGAAAGGCGUUGGUUGCUUAAAACAGCAGGACGGUGGACAUGGAAGUCGUAAUCCGCUAAGGAGUGUGUAACAACUCACCUGCCAAGCAACUAGCCCUUAAAAUGGAUGGCGCUUAAGUUGUAUACCUAUACAUUACCGCUAAAGUAAAUGAUUUAUAUUCAAUUACGAUUGAAUUUAAUAAGUUUUGAAACUUUAGUGAGUAGGAGGGUAUAAUGGUGUGCAUAGAAGUGUUUGGCGUAAGCCUGCAUGGAGCCGCCAUUAGUACAGAUCUUGGUGGUAGUAGCAAAUAAUCGAAUGAGACCUUGGAGGACUGAAGUGGAGAAGGGUUUCGUGUGAACAGUGGUUGAUCACGAGUUAGUCGGUCCUAAGUUUAAUGCGAAAGCUGAAUAUUUUCAAAGUUUCAAAAAAAAAAAAUCAUAUAUUAUUAUAUUAUUAAUUAUUAUUUUAAUACACUUUGAUAAAUAUAUUUAAACGAAAGGGAAUACGGUUCCAAUUCCGUAACCUGUUGAGUAUCCGUUUGUUAUUAAAAUGGGCCAUUGUGUGCUCAUCCUGGUAACAGGAACGACCAUAAAGAAGCCGUCGAGAGAUAUCGGAAGAGUUUUCUUUUCUGUUUUAUAAUCGUACUACCAUGGAAGUCUUUCGAAGAGAGAUAUGGUCGAUGGAUUAGAAGAGCAUGACAUUUACUGUUGUGUCGAUAUUAUCUCCUCGGACCUUGAAAAUUUAUGGUGGGGUCACGUAAAUCUCUCAACAGGCCGUACCGAUAU
rnacentral:rRNA from 1 species